ACACCCCCCCCAGUGACACGCACGGACAGACCCCUCCCACUGCCGCCCCCAGCCAAUGGCGCUGCGAGCCUCUAGCACGCCCUCUCAUUAUCUCUACCAAUGGGCUAUCAGGGGCGGGGCUCUCUGGCCCCGCCUCCUCCCUUAAGGCAGCGGCGGGGCCGGGCCGCUCAGUGCCGGGCGUGGGGGGAGCGCAGCCGAGUCCCCCCCGGGACCCGGGCCCGCUCAGGGCAGCCCCCGUCUGGCGGGCACCCAGCGGGGCCGGGGGAGCGGCCGGGCAGGAGCCGGGCACCGAUCGCUGUCCAUCCCCAGAGCACUCAGAGGACCCUGUCACGGAGCCCUCCCCAUCCCCGGAGCACCCAGAGGACUCGGGCACCAAGCGCCGCGCAAACCGUAAUCACCAAGAGGAGCCGGGUACCGAGCGCCGCCCGCCCCGGAGCACCGAUCGGAGCCGGGCCGCGGGGCGAUGGAGCAGGAGAAGUACCUGCCCGAGCUGCUGGCGGAGAAGGACAGCCUGGACCCCUCCUUUGUUCACGCCAUGCGUCUCCUUUCCGACGAAAUAGAGAAAUUCCAAGGUUCUGAAGGCAAGAAGGAAGAGGAGGAGAAGAAAUACCUGGAUGUUAUCAGCAACAAAAACAUCAAGCUGUCGGAGAGGGUCCUGAUCCCCGUCAAACAAUACCCAAAGUUCAAUUUUGUUGGGAAAUUGCUUGGACCAAGAGGAAACUCCUUGAAGAGAUUACAAGAAGAAACAGGUGCCAAAAUGUCCAUCCUGGGGAAAGGAUCCAUGAGGGACAAAGCCAAGGAGGAGGAGCUGAGGAGGAGUGGGGAGGCCAAAUAUGCCCACCUGAGCGACGAGCUGCAUGUGCUGAUCGAGGUCUUCGCUCCGCCCGGGGAGGCCUACUCCAGGAUGAGCCACGCCCUGGAGGAGAUCAAGAAGUUCCUGGUUCCUGACUACAACGAUGAGAUCCGGCAGGAGCAGCUGAGGGAACUCUCCUACCUGAACGGCUCCGAGGACGCUGCCCGCGGCAGGGCCAUGCGGGGCCGUGGCAUCCGCGGGCUGCCUGCAGCUCCUGCCAGGGGCCGCGGGGGUGCGGUUCCUCCACCCCCACCCGGCCGAGGUGCCCAAGCACCCAGAGGAGCGCCAGUGAGCCGCGGAGCCCUCCCCGUGCCGCCAGUGGCCAGGGGUGUGCCCACCCCCCGAGCAAGGGGCACCGCGGCCGUGCCAGGCUACAGAGCACCCCUGCCCCCGGCACACGAGGCCUACGAGGACUACGGCUAUGAUGAUGGCUAUGGGGGUGACUAUGAGGACCCCAGCUAUGAGGCAUACGACAGCAGCUACGCCACCCCCGCGCAGAGACCUUUUCCCUGCUCCCCAGAGGCCUCUGCCCAUAGGUCUUCCUUCUCAGGGCCCUUAGUCCCUCGUUGCCCAUGAGGUCUGCUUUAGACACGUUGCCUUGAGCCCAUGGCAGAGGGUUGGAACUGAACCAUCCUGAAGGUGCCUUCCAACCCAACGCAUCCUGUGAUUCUCCGAAGCUAUCAACCAGGCUGUGCUACCAGCAGAGAACAUGAGCAGACCCUCAAAGCACAGCCUGUGCUGCAAGGCAGGGCUAUGCUUUAGUGGAAGGAGCACCAAAGAUGCCUAGGCCCAAGAGCAUCCAGCUGCAAGCAGAGAUGAAGGCUCCCUGCUGUGCAGAGCUGUCUGAAGACAAAGGUGAGGGGCAGUGGUGCAGGCCAGCAGUACAUUUUGUGUAGGUCCUUCUCUGACAAAGUCCACCACUGCCACCCUUCCAGAGUGAGCUCCUCUGAGCUCCAUCAAAGCAGUCUGAGUUUUAGGCUGAAAAUAGGGGGGCAGAGCCUCAGGAUCAGACUGGAGUGAAGCCCUCAAGAGGUCUGCGUGGCUGGAUGAGCUGAGGCACCUCAAGAGCACUUUGAAAUGGAUACAAUCAGCAGCCUGAAGGAAGGGGACUGCAGGACUUCCUCUAUGCUUGCCCCCCUUGUCCUGUCCUAGGACACCACUGCAAAGAGCCUGGCCCCUUCCUGAUUCUGGAAUUCUGGAUCAUAAGUCUGUGUGGAUGGGAAAAGCAGACUGGAAUGGAGAUACAGAGAAAGUGAGGGAAUGGAAUCACGGAAUUGUUUGGGUUGGAGAAGCCCUCCAAGACCUUCCAGUCCAACCAUCAGCCCAGCCCCACCACAGCCACUGAACCCUGCCCCAAGUGCCAUGGGCACACCUGUCUGGAACACCUCCAGCCAUGGGCACUCCACCACCUCCCUGGGCAGCCUCUGCCACUCCCUGACCACUCUGGCUCCAAAGACAUUUUUCCUCCUCUCCAACCUAACCCUGCCCUGGCACCGUUCCAGGCCAUCUGCACGGCGCACACUGCCUGGACAGAUUCAGGUGUUAGCAGUGCUCACAGCAGAUGAAGCUUACCUUGGACCUUCCAGCUCUGGCUUUUGUGAACCCCUUGGAUGUCUGCAGCCACACUGUGUGCUGCACAGCUGGAGAACACAAAUGAGAUGCAUCUCUCAGCAAGGCAAAGCAGAGAACAGAAAGAGAAAAGAAGAACAAAUCCACCCAGAGGACUUAAGGGAACAAGAAGUUUUUCAGACCUACAAGGUCCUGCUGCCUGAUGCCCCAGAAGCUGUAGGAGCAGCCAGGGAGCCAGCUGGAACUGUUGCUAACUGGGGUCCUCUUAGUGGAGGCAGAGGCUGGUCAAGGGCCUGGCACUCUGUUAGAGCUGGGAUUUCUGUCCCUAACAGCAGAGACCUCUGAGCAGGCACCAUCGUCCUGCCCCAGGAGCCUUGUCUGCCCAGGAGGCAGGGAUCAUGGCUUCAGCCUUCACCCUUCUGCCCAUGCUCUUCUGCUCAAGCAGAGCAGGAGCCGUGAGGGCUCCCUGGGUGUUGGCAGUCAAACUGGAGCUCACUUCUGCUCAGCUGCUGUCAGUCUGAAAAGUCCCAGUGCAUGAGAGGUUAAAAGCCUCCGGUGGCCUUCAAAGGCUGCUGCUUAGAGAUGGAGCUCUGAAUUUGAGCCUCUGGGGUGGCACACCAGCUGCAGGUGAGUCAGGCUGGAGGGCAUCUCAGGGGGCCCUGAGCACUGGAGUGAGGAAACAUCUUUGGUGUUCAUUCUCUUUGGAGCUGACCUGGCUUUGUCUGCAUGAGGGAGCCAGCACAGGUGCAGGGAAACUUUAAGAGCAGCAGAUUCAAAGCACUGAUGAAACCCAAAAGCUAAGUAAAAAUAAGCAUCAAUAGGUCAGGGUCAUGGAGAUCCACAGAAGGCUGUGGCCACAGAGCAGAGGUGAGCACAGAAUCACAGCUUGCAUGGAAUCAGAGCAUGGGUUGGGAGAGACCUUCAGGAUCAUCUGGUGCCUGCCCCUGCCAUGGGCAGGGACACCUCCCACCAGCCCAGCUGGCUCAGGACCUCGUUCAGCCUGGCCUUGGACACCUCCAGGGAGGGCACAAAGCGUCAGAGGGACAGAGAAGAGUGACACCAGAGCUGCUUGAGACACAGAGGCAGGGAAGGCCCUUGCAGGAGCCAUGGCCCAGUGCACACAAGCUCUGCCAUGAGCGGUAUGUGGAGAAGGCUUCCGAAGGAGUCUGGAGAGGGUUGCUAAAGCCUGCAGGAGGUUCCAAAGCCUGUCCUGGCCCGUCGCGAUCUGUCCUGGAAGCCUGCAGGUGCUGAGGAGCCAGAGCUGAGCUGUAGGAUGCCCCAGUGUGCCUGAGUAUUAUGACUACGGCCCUGGGGCGAGCGAGGAGGCCUACGGCAGCUACGCACCAGAAGAAUGGGCCACAACCCGUUC